rnacentral:rRNA from 1 species
CCUACGGGCGGCAGCAGUGGGGGAUAUUACACAAUGGGGGAAACCCUGAUGCAGCGACGCCGCGUGAGCGAUGAAGGACUUCGGUUUGUAAAGCUCUAUCAGCAGGGAAGAAAAUGACAGUACCUGACUAAGAAGCCCCGGCUAACUACGUGCCAGCAGCCGCGGUAAUACGUAGGGGGCAAGCGUUAUCCGGAAUUUCUGGGGGUAAAGGGGGCGUAGAUGGUUUUGUAAGUCUGGAGGGAAAGCCCCGGGGUGAAACCCGGGACUGCUUUGGAAACUGUGUAACUGGAGUGCAGGAGAGGAAAGCGGAAUUCCUGGUGUAGCGGUGAAAUGCGUAGAUAUCAGGAGGAACACCAGAGGCGAAGGCGGCUUGCUGGACUGAAACUGACGCUGAGGCACGAAAGCGUGGGGAGCAAACAGGAUUAGAUACCCGAGUAGUC